UAUACAUGCAAGUCGAGCGGACAGAAGGGAGCUUGCUCCCGGAUGUUAGCGGCGGACGGGUGAGUAACACGUGGGUAACCUGCCUGUAAGACUGGGAUAACUCCGGGAAACCGGAGCUAAUACCGGAUAGUUCCUUGAACCGCAUGGUUCAAGGAUGAAAGACGGUUUCGGCUGUCACUUGCAGAUGGACCCGCGGCGCAUUAGCUAGUUGGUGGGGUAAUGGCUCACCAAGGCGACGAUGCGUAGCCGACCUGAGAGGGUGAUCGGCCACACUGGGACUGAGACACGGCCCAGACUCCUACGGGAGGCAGCAGUAGGGAAUCUUCCGCAAUGGACGAAAGUCUGACGGAGCAACGCCGCGUGAGUGAUGAAGGUUUUCGGAUCGUAAAGCUCUGUUGUUAGGGAAGAACAAGUGCGAGAGUAACUGCUCGCACCUUGACGGUACCUAACCAGAAAGCCACGGCUAACUACGUGCCAGCAGCCGCGGUAAUACGUAGGUGGCAAGCGUUGUCCGGAAUUAUUGGGCGUAAAGGGCUCGCAGGCGGUUUCUUAAGUCUGAUGUGAAAGCCCCCGGCUCAACCGGGGAGGGUCAUUGGAAACUGGGAAACUUGAGUGCAGAAGAGGAGAGUGGAAUUCCACGUGUAGCGGUGAAAUGCGUAGAGAUGUGGAGGAACACCAGUGGCGAAGGCGACUCUCUGGUCUGUAACUGACGCUGAGGAGCGAAAGCGUGGGGAGCGAACAGGAUUAGAUACCCUGGUAGUCCACGCCGUAAACGAUGAGUGCUAAGUGUUAGGGGGUUUCCGCCCCUUAGUGCUGCAGCUAACGCAUUAAGCACUCCGCCUGGGGAGUACGGUCGCAAGACUGAAACUCAAAGGAAUUGACGGGGGCCCGCACAAGCGGUGGAACAUGUGGUUUAAUUCAAGCAACGCAAGAACCUUACCAGGUCUUGACAUCCUCUGACAACCCUAGAGAUAGGGCUUUCCCUUCGGGGACAGAAUGACAGGUGGUGCAUGGUUGUCCUC
rnacentral:rRNA from 1 species